AGGUACAAGGGGCUCCUUGGUUGCUUGGCCUGCUUUUCGUAUAUCAAUGAGGAUAUCCCUGACAUAAAUUCGUUUUGUGACAGUCUUGGAGAGAAAUUUACUAUUGUCGAUGCAUACACUCAUCCGGGGUAGAAUCUGAUCUCGAGUAAACAUUGUGCUCCACCAGAAGAAGAGCAUCUGGAUGUCUUAAUCCUAACAUUCGGGAGUGCACUUCGUUUGAUGCCUUGAAAGAUCAGUAUAUUGGGAAUCAUGAGAUAGUCAUCCAGAGUUUGGUCAGAUUUGAACUGAUUUGGCUUACAAUUUGUAAUUUUGCAAUCAGCUUUCCUACAAGUCAUCUCAACUUCAACUUUAAAAGUUGUAUGUAUGUAGUUAAUACAAAGUACAGGCAUGCGGUCUAAAUCAAGAUCACAGUGAGAUGGCGUAGCUUGAUUUGCUGCUUCCUCUUCUGCUGUGUGUUUGCUCAGUGUGUUUGUUCCAAGGUGAGCCUCUUUCUUUUUCCCAUGCUUUUGACCUGCUCAUAGUGGAGUAUGGUCACGGCUGGUUCCUAGAUGUACCAUAGACAUGUCUGGACUAUGAACUCUUUUUUACCAGCUCUGAGAUUUUACAUAGUGAUGGCUCAUGAUUAAGAUUAUUACUGUGAAAAAGAACUUACCUCAUGUUAUCAUGUACUCCCUCCGACCAAAAAUAAGUGUCAUAAAGCUCAUAUAUCUCUUUAGGGGCAAAUGAUUAUGAUAGAGAUACCAAGAAACUAAAUGGAACUCAUAAAGCUCAUGACCAUCACGGGAGGCAAGGUUCACCUUUUUUCUUUUCUUCAUCUUACUCACAGCCCACAGUGUUAUGAAUUUUAUUUAUGUCUGCAACUUUUGGUAUCACAAAGCAAGGAUGAACCCGCUACAUCUUAGCGCACCUUUAACUACUUUAUUUGCUGUACUAUUGUGGAUGUACCGCAGAAUAAAGCAGUCCUCCAUUUUUCUUCUCUGCAGGCUGAUGUUCUUGCUCAAUAUAAGCCAACAAUUGACACAAAAUUGUUGAUUGCUAAACUAAAGAGGUUUAAUGAGUUGGCAGCUAAUGCUUUAGUGAGCUUUAAGAGUAUCCGGCGUAUUGUUCUAUAUUACGAGGAUGUGAUCAGCAAUCGCACGGUGAGCCCUAUUGGACAAUAUUAAUGUUUGGGAAAUAAUCACCAUUUAUUUCUCUCGAUAACAUUGGUUAAGCCCUCUUUCAGAAGCUCACAGAUGUGCUGCUAUCCAGUCUCUAUGUGAAAAUCCAUACUAAAUUAUUGUGUGAUCAUAUUGAUAAUUGGAUUGAUGUUUAUAAUGCUUUGAUUGGGACUCAAUAUCACAUCUUCUUGAAUGGUUGAAGAUGAGCAAAUUAGACAGGUCUAAAUAAUGACUCAAUAUCACAGCCAGUCAAUUCUCUUCAUGCUAGAUUUACAAUUUACUUGAUACAAAAAGGCAAUACAGUUUAGUAACGACCUGGAACUAGCAGGCUAUCCCAUUUGUUUAGGUUAUGAGCAGUACUGUUUCCUUCUUAAAUUUGGGCAAUCUUUUAAAUACCAUAUUACUACGCAAAGCUUUAAAAAGCAAUCCAGAAUAGAGGCCAGACCUUAAUCAUGUUGAUAUUUUCUAUUAUGGAUUCAUGAUAUUCCAAUUUUCAUGUCUUUUUUGUGUUGUAAGUGGCUGCUCUAGACAGAGUACUUAUGUCGUACUUAUAGCUUAUUCCUAUACAUUUAGUUCUUCUAACAUUCAAUAGUCAGUACCCAGCAAUCCUUGUGGACCCGGUACUGAUUACUUCUGGUGGUCAUGGAUAACUAAAAAUUGCCUUCUUUUCGCGUUGCAUCAAGAUGAAAUUAAGCUCUUGAGUUUCUUGGAGCAGCCCUACAUGUGAUUGUUGUGGGUUUUUGAAACUACAUAUGAUGUCACAUAGGCAUGCUACUAAAGUUUAGGCAUUGAUAUUGUUUGAGCGUCUUUUGGUCCUGGUGGAACCUUUAUUGAACUUAUUAACAUGUUUUAGUCUUAUACUCCCUCCGUUUUUAUUUAGUUCGCA